CGAAUCCCUAAUAUACAUACCCAAGCUUGGGCGAGCCAAUUUGUCUCCCACAGGCGAAACCAUGUCUCUGGCGAUCCCAGCCCAGCCACCCAACCUCAACCUCACAGAUCAGGACCAUGGUACCGGCUUGCUCAAAAGACUCGAAGCUUGCUGGAAAGUCUUUGACUCAACAAUUUUACUACUCGUCGCUGGCUCUGCCUCUCCCUCAUGAACAAGAAGAAGAAUCAGCAAAGGGGGAAGAGGAAGAGGAGGAGGA